rnacentral:rRNA from 1 species
CCUACGGGAGGCAGCAGUGAGGAAUAUUGGUCAAUGGCCGGAAGGCUGAACCAGCCAAGCCGCGUGAGGGAGGAAGGCGCUGAGCGUCGCAGACCUCUUUUGCCGGGGGACAAAAGGCCGGACGGGUCCGGUUCUGAGGGUACCCGGAGAAAAAGCAUCGGCUAACUCCGUGCCACCAGCCGCGGUAAUACGGAGGAUGCGAGCGUUAUCCGGAUUCAUUGGGUUUAAAGGGUGCGCAGGGGGGCUGUUAAGCCGGCGGUGAAAUCGCGGGGCUCAACCCCGCCGGGCCGUCGGAACUGGGGGCCCAGAGUGCGGCGGAGGCAUGCGGAAUGCGCGGUGUAGCGGUGAAAUGCGUAGAUAUCACGCAGAACACCGAUGGCGAAGGCAGCAUACCGGAGCCCAACUGACGCUGAAGCACGAAAGCGUGGGUAUCGAACAGGAUUAGAUACCCUUGUAGUC